AAGGUGGGACAAAUGAUUGGGGUGAAGUCGUAACAAGGUAGCCGUAUCGGAAGGUGCGGCUGGAUCACCUCCUUU
rnacentral:rRNA from 3 species